rnacentral:siRNA from 1 species
UCUGUAAUUUCUUUACCCGGCCCA